AUUGAACGCUGGCGGCAGGCCUAACACAUGCAAGUCGAACGGUAACAGGAAGAAGCUUGCUUCUUUGCUGACGAGUGGCGGACGGGUGAGUAAUGUCUGGGAAACUGCCUGAUGGAGGGGGAUAACUACUGGAAACGGUAGCUAAUACCGCAUAACGUCGCAAGACCAAAGAGGGGGACCUUCGGGCCUCUUGCCAUCGGAUGUGCCCAGAUGGGAUUCGCUAGUAGGUGGGGUAACGGCUCACCUAGGCGACGAUCCCUAGCUGGUCUGAGAGGAUGACCAGCCACACUGGAACUGAGACACGGUCCAGACUCCUACGGGAGGCAGCAGUGGGGAAUAUUGCACAAUGGGCGCAAGCCUGAUGCAGCCAUGCCGCGUGUAUGAAGAAGGCCUUCGGGUUGUAAAGUACUGUCAGCGGGGAGGAAGGGAGUAAAGUUAAUACCUUGACUCAUUGACGUUACCCGAAGAAGAAGCACCGGCUAACUCCGUG
rnacentral:rRNA from 1 species